GAGAGUUAAGAGUUUGUUUAUUGAAACAUGAAGUUAGAGACAUUUAGUUAUGUUUUAUAAUUACUUCGACAUAAGAAAGGAAAAACAAGAUUUGCGAGGUAAAUUUUCUGUUAUGUUAUGUAUUGCUUGCCAGCUGGGAAUCUUUAAUGUGAGACAAAGAAAUCAAAAAGGAGCCUCUAAAUUUCAACAAAGUGACCAAACAUGACCCACAAAGAAGAGCCGAUUAAGAGUAUUAAGUUCAUUGUUUCUCAUAUCCAACCCCACCACCAUUCCUCAUUCUAAAGCUGGCAUUAUUACGCCAUGCAUUUUCUAUAUUGAAAGUGAUUGAAUUGGAAUCCAAUGGAUUAUUAAAAAUUAAAAAAAAUGAACAACAUUAUUUGAUAAGAAAUAAAAAAAAAGGUAUAAUCCAAAAAAAAAAAAAAGAAACAAAAAAGAAGAUAAAAAGGCAUAGGAAAGCUAAAACUUUCCCUACUUUACAAGGUAGACUUGAGAGUUGAGAGUAUAGAGAGAGAGAGAGAGAGAGAGAGCAGGGUUAAGUAAUGAAGUUCUUGUUUCAGUGUCCUUGUUGCUCAUGUUUUUGCUUUGUGAAGCCCAAGAAGGGAAAACCAAAGCCGAAGGAAGCUAAAGUAGAGGACUCCAAGGAAGAGAAAAAAGAGUGAUAAAAAAUUGCAAAUGCUGCAUUGCUGAUGCAAAAUGGGUAUUUGGGUGCUCAAGUAAUUGUUUGUAUGUACAAUUUUCUUUCUAUUUCAUGUGAAAUGCUUCCAUCUUUAAUUGCUUUCCAUGGAAAAUAAGGUGUCACAUUACUUUUAUUUUACAAAAUCUCAUAAAAUGUAUGAGAUAUCAAGCUCAUAUCUAGUUUCUGCUUAUUUUGCUUCAAAGCUUGCAUAUAGUCAUUUUGUCUCUUGCCCCUAUAGUGGAAAAUGUGAAUGAGCCUAUCUUUAGUGAGGAUUGAAGCAUUCUACAACAUUUGGCUUUGCCCUCCUUUUUUUUUUUUUUUUUUGGUACAGAAGGGGAUGGCUUUGCACUUGUUUAUUAAUUGAUUUGGUUUAUUUUGGGAUUUGAACUCAUAAAUUCAUAGCUUUUUUACAAUUUUAAUAAUUAAAACUUAAAGAUCCAAUCAUCUUAUUUUAUGUGAUUUUAACAUUGGUUUUAUCAAUUAUUUCUUACAAAUUUUCUAAUUCUAUUAGCUGCAAAAACCUACUAAAAUGUUAGUAACUCUAAUUGAUUGCUGAUGAAGACCAGUGCUUGUUCAAGCACAAAAUGGAAAGGCAUCAAUUCUGUUUAAUUUAGAUCUGCUAAUUCUGAUGAAAUAUGCCAAUUAGGUGUGGUAGUGGGAGGUCUCGAGUUCGAGUUCUCUCGACCACAAGUGUUUUCUCUAACUUGGUGAGUGUUAU
rnacentral:lncRNA from 1 species